UUCCCGGGCCUUGUACACACCGCCCGUCACGUCACGAAAGUCGGUAACACCCGAAGCCGGUGGCCCAACCCCUCACGGGGGAGGGAGCUGUCGAAGGUGGGACUGGCGAUUGGGACG
rnacentral:rRNA from 1 species